UACGGAGGGUGCGAGCGUUGUCCGGAAUCACUGGGCGUAAAGGGCGCGUAGGUGGCGCGGGCAGUCAACGGUGAAAGCUCGGGGCUCAACCCCGAGUCGGCCGUCGAUACUCCCGUGCUUGAGCACUGUAGAGGCAGAUGGAAUUCCGGGUGUAGCGGUGGAAUGCGUAGAGAUCCGGAAGAACACCGGUGGCGAAGGCGGUCUGCUGGGCAGUAGCUGACACUGAGGCGCGACAGCGUGGGGAGCAAACAGG
rnacentral:rRNA from 1 species